rnacentral:rRNA from 1 species
CCCUUAGAUGUUCUGGGCCGCACGCGUGCUACACUGACCGGCGCAACAAGUUUCUUUCCUUGGCUCGAUAGGCCUGGGUAAUCUUUGAACGCCGGUCGUGAUGGGGAUAGAUCCUUGCAAUUUUUGAUCUUCAACGAGGAAUUCCUAGUAAAUGCGAGUCAUCAUCUCGCGUUGAUUACGUCCCUGCCCUUGGUACACACCGCCCGUCGCACCUACCGAUUGAAUGGUCCGGUGAAGCCUCGGGAUUGCGAAUGCUUCGUGCGGACGCGAGAACUUGGCUAAACCUUACCAUUUAGAGGAAGGUGAAGUCGUAACA